CACACACACACACACACACACACACACACACACACAUAUACAUAUGCACACACACACACACACACACACAGUCUCCCUUGCCCGCUUCCUUUCUUGGCAAGCCUAUCCGCAUGAAAAGACACACAUUAACACGCAUGUGUCCAUAAAUGGCAACCCACCCCUCCCUACUCUGGUUCUCCCCAAAAAAAAAGAAAAGAAAGCACUACACGGAAGAGGGAGAAAAAAAAAGAAAAAAAACCACGGCACACAAAACCCAGAGCACACCAGCACGCAUGCAUUCACACCGACUCAUCCAGGCGUUCCGUCCCCCCCUCCACCCACACACACACACACACACACACACACACACAGCCCUCCCCUCGACUCCUGCAGGACACUGGCCUGUGUCCCAGGCGUAACAAACUUCUCUCUCUUCCAUUAAGGCGGCGUCGUAUGCAACGCAUUAGAAACAAAUGUGCAAAUUUACUUCUUUCUUUUCCUUUUUCCUCUCUCUCUCUCUCUCUCUCGCUCUCCCUCUCUCUCUGAAGCACUCAUGUUGCUCUCUUAGAGCAAAGCUUAGAGUUCUGUGCAGGGUAGUGUCAAGAUAGUACCACGCUGGGACAAGUUGAUUGUUAAGGCCUGGUGUACCAAGGGGGUAAGGACCAACGCUCUGUGGUGGGACUGCUCCCUAAGGAAGGGAGGGGGGGGGGGGGUUGAUUUGUGUCUUGGACAAGUUACUUUUUAUCCCCCCACCAAAAUCCCCCACCUAUUCAAUUCUGGAAUCAGCUAAUCCUUUUUUUUGUUUUUUAUUUUAAUUUUCUUUUUUUUUUUUAAGAAAGGUGAACAGUAUUUUUUUUAAGCUGUGGCUUAUAAGGACACUGACCAGAAGAGACUCAAAAUCACAACUUGAUGGAAGCAUUUUUUCUUUUUUUUUGCUUUUAGUUGAAUUUGCGAUUGGCUUCAGCAGUGCUCGUCUAAGGCUGCAUGUGAUCUCCGUAAGCACGGCCACGUUACAGACGUUUUCGCCGGACAAUGUGCCAAGUUGUCCAUUCACCAACGCUUCGUGUGUCUGCAUGUUCAGUGUUCUCCAGCCAGCGGGACCUGGCCUCAUUCACAUGGCAAAACUCACACCCCCGCCCUAUGGUGGCCCAGGAUGGACAAAAAACACUGUGCAUUGCCUCUAGUCUAGACUGAGGUCCACUUGCCAGGAUAAUGCCGCCAGUGCCACUAUCACCACCACCACCCAGAUGAUUCACCCCCCAGCCUGCACCUCACCGCCACUGAUUUCACAUUGGCAUCAGCGGCAGCCACCCAACAUGCUCUCAUCUCCACCUCAGUACUGCCGAGAUUUAUGUCAGAGUGCCGAUGGGGGCUGUGGGCUAUAGACGGAGCAUAUAGCAUCUAGCAUAGAGACGGUGGGAAGAGAACAACAGACAGGAAGAGAGAAGAGAUCUAGAGAUGAAAGAGACAGAGAAAGC
ensembl:lncRNA